GUGAAAACAAAAUGACUUCUUGAAGAAUUUUCAUUCAUCUGAGUCUUGCCGACAGACCUGCUUUGUGCAGCACGCCUUAGAAGAGAAGAGACCUUGCUACUACUUUGAACAUCUACAACUGUCAGAUCUGAGACAUGGGUGUGGCCAUUUGCAUCAUGUUUGAUUGUAUAUUGCUUUCCGCCAUUUUCGGGUCUUGAAGCAUCGAAACCUGACAAAAGGUCCCGAAUAGUCUCGUUGUAUAUUUCAAGCAUUGACACCUGCAUUUCAUAUUUCCACCCUUGUGCUUGAAGAGACUGCCGGGUCUCAAAUACCUGUUCUAAAGUGCGGGGUAUUAGUCCUUUAUUCUCUGCACUUUCUGGGUUGCCCAUCAUUGUAUGUGUCUU
rnacentral:misc_RNA from 1 species